CUAAAACGUACCGUUUAGGAGAUAUCAGCCCCCCAAUUGCUCAAUAGUGGCCAUUUUGAAUUUAUGCAAAUUAGGGCACUUCCGGUGGUUCUAUUUUAUCCUAUUUUAUAUUGGGACAUUCAGAGUGACCCCCUGAACAAGAUCUCGCAAUAAAAAACUAUUGCAAUUUGUUUCAGGUUCAGCCAUUCUGGGGCUAAAUCUACUGGACGACUUGGGUAGCACCAACAAUCUGCCUCGGGCAGUACAUGAUGAUGAUGACUAACUUUAGAACUGCUUGAAGCAUUCGUGAUUUACAAAAUAAUUUGUGCCUUGUCGGUUAAACAGAUAAUUGAGUAAUUGGUUGUAUUGCUUGUGUUUCUGGAAUGCUUUAACCGAUCCUUGAGCUUUUUAUAGAUUAUUCCUCUCCAAUUUUGAGGUCCCCUUGGCUGAUGAUGUAUCCAUGCCACGUGAAAUUAUUGACAUGCAGACUUACCCUAUGCACAAUAGAAGGACUGGUAUUAUUUGUGAGAAACUGCAAACCAAAUUGCCAGGCCAUUGUGAAAAACGAUCUCUGAUCGUACCAACACAACAUGUUCUCGUGCCAAUUUGUACCAUGACGUGAAAAGCUUUGAGUUGAUAGGCAUCAAAGUUCUUAAAAUGUCAUUUUUCAACAGAAAUCAAAUUGAACGCAGCUCGGAUACCAGCAACAUGGCUCAGGAUGUGCCUCCUCAUGCCCGUCCAAGACAUUUGGAGUGCAGAAGUGAAAGCAUUGAAGUUGAUCCACAGCAUGGAGGUUUGCAAGAGAAGCACACCCUGCAGUCGGACACAGGGAUGCAGAUCAUGAACCUGUCAUCUGCUAAUUGUGAGCACACAGGCCCAUCCAAAGGCCGUGUUUCUGACUGUGGUCGAAUGGAAAGCGACGCUGGACAGCAGGAAAGGGGGUCGAGCAUCAUCCUUGGGAUAUCGGCGCUCAGCAUCAACUUUUCCUCCAGCCUGUCCACACGACAGGCCAUGCGUGUUCCCGUCUCAGAGCAGCAAAGAGUAUUGAAUCAAGAAAUAGAUCUGAGAGAGACAUCUGUUGGACUGGCUACGACCACACAGUCGUUUGAACAAGCGAAUGUCUCGCAUCUUGAUUUUACUUUUCCGGAGCCGGUUCCGUCUGUCUCUUCUCAAGCAAGCCCAUCUAUCAUGGAAGCACAAGCACCAACUGAUGACCAUCAGCCUUUGUUGGACAAUUCUGAAGGUCUCCCAGGCUUCAAACGUUCGUCCUCCAGUUCUCUGCUUUCACAAGGCCGACAUCUUUCACCUUGCCCAACUCCUUGCUUGACCAGCAAACCCCCACAGUGCUUUCCCACCCCGGCAUCUCUGCCUUUUGUCCAAAUUCCCCACUCGUCCACGCUGAGUCUGUCCAAGCCUUUUAUUGCAUGCUCUUCCACACUGGCCUAUGAUCAGCAACCACCACCAAGCAAAAAGUCCAGUUUGGAUGGAGGGCAGGUGCAGAAAACGUGCUCUUCUAAUCCACUUUUAUAUCAACCAAUGGCUGCUCAGCAAAAGGUAACAAAAUAUUUUUGACUAUCUAGUUUAGCACUGCACGUCAGAUUGUGAGACUUGCUUUGCAAGUCAGUUAAAAUGUAAAAAUCAAAUUCUGAUUCUUAGUUGUGGAGUGUUUGGGAUUGGCAGCAUGUCCUGGCGGUUUCACAAGCAGGGUGAUUCAGCAAUGUGUGUGCCGUCCCUCAGAUGGACAUUAAAUUAGGCAUUAGUUGGUGGGCCUUAAGGAUCACUUGGUGUCCCUCGUGAAGAGGAGGCGAGCUAUCACCGGUAUUGUGGCCAAAUUACAAAUUCCUGUCCCAACUACUUUGUCGAGCGUCAGGCUUGGCCAGACGGUUCAUGAGACUUUGGCCGAAAACUUACCCCCGCCAAACCCCACGAGAACGUGGAAAUAAUUGUGGUCAUUAAAGAAGAAAUGGAGUUGUGAAAUUUUGUUUUAUUCAUUAUGAAAAUAAUUUUUUCUGCCUGCCACGAUUUUUCUGUGGGGGGGGGGG
ensembl:lincRNA